rnacentral:rRNA from 1 species
CAUAUCAAUAAGCGGAGGAAAAGAAACUAACAAGGAUUCCCCUAGUAACGGCGAGUGAAGAGGGAAGAGCUCAAAUUUGAAAUCUGGCGUGCUCAGUGCGUCCGAGUUGUAAUCUACAGAGUCGUUUUCCGUGCCGGACCGUGUCCAAGUUCCUUGGAACAGGAUAUCAAAGAGGGUGACAAUCCCGUACUUGACACGACCACCGGUGCCCUGUGAUACGUCCUCUAUGAGUCGAGUUGUUUGGGAAUGCAGCUCUAAAUGGGUGGUGAGUUCCAUCUAAGGCUAAAUAUUGGCGAGAGACCGAUAGCGAACAAGUACCGUGAGGGAAAGAUGAAAAGCACUUUGGAAAGAGAGUUAAACAGUACGUGAAAUUGUUGAAAGGGAAACGAUUGAAGUCAGUCGUGUCUGAGGGGUUCAGCCGGUUCUGCCGGUGUACUCCCCUCGGAUGGGUCAACGUCAGUUCUGUCUGGUGGAUAAGGGCGGCGGGAAUGUUGCACUCCUAGGGGUGCACUUACCAGCCCGUCGUCGUAUACAUUGGGUGGGACUGAGGACUGCAGCUCGCCUUCAUUGGCCGGGGGUUCGCCCCACGUUCCGAGCUUAGGAUGUUGACAUAAUGGCUUUAAACGACCCCUCCUGANAC